AUGUACCCCUUUGUAUUUAUCCCGUUGUAUAAGGGGUUUCCUGCAUAUGUUCCACACCUGUACAUGUAUAUAUAUCGGCCUAUGGCCUCAUGGGAAUACAAGUUGCUUAUUCCUAACAGCCACAUCAUGAAGGUGCAAGUAGAUAAGAAACACACUGACCGAUCAUUUCAACCUGGUGACGAGGUUUACAUCAAGCUCCAGCCGUAUGUACAGUCUUCAGUCCACCACAAAGCCAACCACAAGCUGUCCUUUAAAUACUUUGGACCAUUCCAAGUAUUGCGAGCCAUCAACCCGGUCGCUUAUGAGCUCGCACUACCACCAGGCUCGCAAGUUCACCCCGUUUUUCAUGUCUCUCAGCUACAACAAGCUCUGUCUCCAGGUACAACAGCUUCUUCGACUCUGCCGGUACCGCCUAAGGCUGAUCUCAUUCCGGUAGAGAUCUUGCAAACAAGAUGGCGCCAAACACCUUCAGGGUGCCGAGAGCAGGUCCUGGUACGUUGGUCAAACUCCGAGGAGGUGGACGCUACUUGGGAGGAUGCCAUUGCCUUACAGUCUCGUUUCCUCAUCUGCCGGCUUGGGGGCAAGCCGCAAGUCAAGGAGGAGGGGAUGUCACCAUCCAACAUGCAGAGGGUGAGACGGGCAGCGAAACAGCUGCCAUAG
rnacentral:rRNA from 1 species